GACGAACGCUGGCGGCGUGCUUAACACAUGCAAGUCAACGAGAAUUGAACUGCUUGCAGUUCAAGGGCAGUGGCGAACGGGUGAGUAACGCGUAGAUAACCUACCUUUUAGAUUGGGAUAAUCCAUGGAAACGUGGACUAAUACCGAAUGUAGUCUUAAGGUCGCAUGAUUUUGAGAUAAAAGAUCUUGAAUCGCUAAAAGAUGGGUCUGCGUGACAUUAGCUAGUUGGAGAGGUAACGGCUCCCCAAGGCAUCGAUGUCUAGCUGGUCUGAGAGGAUGAUCAGCCACACUGGGACUGAGAUACGGCCCAGACUCCUACGGGAGGCAGCAGUGAGGAAUAUUGCACAAUGGGGGCAACCCUGAUGCAGCAACGCCGCGUGUACGAUGACACUAUUCUGUAGCGUAAAGUACUGUUAAUCGUGACGAACAUAGAGGUUUGCAGCCUUUAUUGACGGUAGCGAUAGAGGAAGCUCCGGCUAACUCCGUGCCAGCAGCCGCGGUAAUACGGAGGGAGCGAGCGUUGUCCGGAUUUAUUGGGCGUAAAGGGCAUGUAGGUGGUACAGCCAGUCAGUUGUUAAAUAUUACGGCUUAACCGUAUUCUGCAAUUGAUACUUCUGUUCUUGAGUUUGUGAGGGGAUGAUGGAAUGCCUAGUGUAAGCGGUGGAAUGCGUAGAUAUUAGGUAGAACACCAGUGGAGAAGUCGAUCAUCUGGCACAAUACUGACACUGAUAUGCGAAAGCGUGGGUAGCAAACAGGAUUAGAUACCCUGGUAGUCCACGCGGUAAACGAUGGGCAUUAGGUGUCCGGGGACUAGUCCCCCGGGUGCCGCAGCUAACGCGUUAAGUGCCCCGCCUGGGGAGUACGCCGGCAACGGUGAAACUCAAAGGAAUUGACGGGGGCCCGCACAAGCGGUGGAGCAUGUGGUUUAAUUCGAUGCAACGCGAAGAACCUUACCUGGGCUUGAACCGCAGAUGACGUUAUUAGAGAUAAUAAUUUUCUAGCAAUAGAACAUCUGUAGAGGUGCUGCAUGGCUGUCGUCAGCUCGUGUCGUGAGAUGUUGGGUUAAGUCCCGCAACGAGCGCAACCCUUAUCAUUAGUUGCCAUCGAGUAAUGUCGGGGACUCUAAUGAGACUGCCUACGUUAAGUAGGAGGAAGGUGGGGAUGACGUCAAGUCCUCAUGGCCUUUAUGUCCAGGGCUACACACGUGCUACAAUGGGCGGUACAGAGCGACGCUACACCGCGAGGUGAUGCAAAUCGCAAAAACCGUUCUCAGUUCGGAUCGCAGUCUGCAACUCGACUGCGUGAAGUCGGAAUCGCUAGUAAUCGCGGAUCAGCAUGCCGCGGUGAAUACGUUCCCGGGCCU
rnacentral:rRNA from 1 species